AGACUAACAAUUGGGUACAGCUGCCAGUGGCAGAAACUACUCUGCCCCGCAGCCUGAUCAGGUAGUCCCUACACCUCUUUUGGUGGUGCCACCAUCGAAUCAGGCAUCGUAGCCACCACUGUCGAAACAACCACAAGCCCCUCUGCAAAGCCCGGAGAGGAGACAAACCUGCCAGAGCCACCCCAGAACUCCAGAACCAAGAAGGAGGCGAUCUUCGAGUAUUCGAUCAAGGCACGAUUCAAUCUC
rnacentral:lncRNA from 1 species